UACGUAGGGGGCAAGCGUUGUCCGGAUUUACUGGGUGUAAAGGGUGCGCAGGUGGCUUGGAAAGUCAGAGGUGAAAUCUGAGAGCUUAACUCUCAAACUGCCAUUGAUACUUCUUAGCUUGAGUACGGAAGAGGCUGAUGGAAUUUCAGGUGUAGCAGUGAAAUGCGUAGAUAUCUGAAAGAACACCAGUGGCGAAGGCGGUCAGCUGGUCCGUUACUGACACUAAAGCACGAAAGCGUGGGUAGCAAACAGG
rnacentral:rRNA from 1 species